rnacentral:rRNA from 1 species
AUACGUAGGUGGCAAGCGUUGUCCGGAAUUAUUGGGCGUAAAGCGCGCGCAGGCGGACUGAUCAGUCUGGUCUAAAAGAGCGGGGCUCAGCCCCGUUAGGGGCCGGAAACUGUCAGUCUUGAGUGCCGGAGAGGAAAGUGGAAUUCCCAGUGUAGCGGUGAAAUGCGUAGAGAUUGGGAGGAACACCAGUGGCGAAGGCGACUUUCUGGACGGUGUCUGACGCUGAGGCGCGAAAGCCAGGGGAGCGAACAGGAUUAGAUACCCUGGUAGUCCAUGCCGUAAACGAUGAUUACUAGGUGUGGGGGGUCUGACCCCUUCCGUGCCGGAGUUAACACAAUAAGUAAUUCACCUGGGAAGUACGACCGCAAGGUUGA